GUACUGCUGAAGAGUACCGAACUAGGACGAAACAGCUGUCCAGUAC
rfam:Trichobilharzia regenti genome assembly, scaffold: TRE_scaffold0043327